rnacentral:rRNA from 1 species
AAUAUUGGACAAUGGGGGCAACCCUGAUCCAGCCAUGCCGCGUGUGUGAAGAAGGUCUUCGGAUUGUAAAGCACUUUAAGCUGGGAGGAAGAGCUAUCGGUUAAUACGCUGAAGUUCUGACGUUACCUGCAGAAUAAGCACCGGCUAACUAUGUGCCAGCAGCCGCGGUAAUACAGAGGGUGCAAGCGUUAAUCGGAAUUACUGGGCGUAAAGCGUGUGUAGGUGGUUCAGUAAGAUGGGUGUGAAAUCCCCGGGCUUAACCUUGGAACUGCUUUCAUAACUGCUGAGCUAGAGUACGGUAGAGGGUAGUAGAAUUUCCUGUGUAGCGGUGAAAUGCGUAGAUAUAGGGAGGAACACCAAUGGCGAAGGCGACUACCUGGACUGAUACUGACACUGAGGUGCGAAAGCGUGGGGAGCAAACAG